rnacentral:rRNA from 1 species
GACAGAGGUGCCAAGCGUUAGGCGGAAUCACUGGGCUUAAAGCGUGUGUAGGCGGAUCGUUAAGUACCUUGUGAAAUCCCACGGCUCAACCGUGGAACUGCUGGGUAUACUGGCGAUCUUGAGCCACCUAGGGGCGAGCGGAACAAGCGGUGGAGCGGUGAAAUGCGUAGAUAUCGGGAGGGACACCAGUGGCGAAGGCGACUACCUGGCCCAUUCUUGACGCUGAGGCGCGAAAGCUAGGGGAGCGAACGGG